GGGCCUAUGGUUUAUCGGUAGAAUACAUCUAUGGCAUAGAUGAGGGCGGGGUUCGAUUCCCCGUAGGUCCA
rnacentral:tRNA from 1 species